GGCGGAAUAGCUCAGUAGGCUAGAGCGUUUUUACUUCAGGACUCUAGGGGUCACUGGUUCGAAACCUGCUCCGGGCA
rnacentral:tRNA from 1 species